rnacentral:rRNA from 1 species
GAUGAACGCUAGCGGCAGGCCUAAUACAUGCAAGUCGAACGGUGUCUUCGGACAUAGUGGCGCAUGGGUGCGUAACACGUAUGCAACCUACCUUACAUUGGGGGAUAGCCUGUCGAAAGGGAGAUCAAUACCGCAUAAGACAGUAGCUGGGCAUCCAGCAGCUAUUAAAGAUUUAUCGAUGUAAGCUGGGCACGCGUCCAAUUAGCUAGUUGGUGAGGUAACGGCUCACCAAGGCAAUGAUUGGUAGGGGAACUGAGAGGGCAAUCCCCCACACUGGCACUGAGAUACGGGCCAGACUCCUACGGGAGGCAGCAGUAGGGAAUAUUGGGCAAUGGACGAAAGUCUGACCCAGCCAUGCCGCGUGCAGGACGAAGGCGUUAGGCGUUGUAAACUGCUUUUAUACAGGAAGAAACGACUCUUGCGAGAGGCAUUGACGGUACUGUAUGAAUAAGCACCGGCUAACUCCGUGCCAGCCGCCGCAGUAACAC